rnacentral:rRNA from 1 species
CCUACGGGUGGCUGCAGUGGGGAAUAUUGGACAAUGGGCGAAAGCCUGAUCCAGCCAUGCCGCGUGUGUGAAGAAGGCCUUCGGGUUGUAAAGCACUUUCAGUGGGGAAGAAAGCCUUGGGGCUAAUACCCUCGAGGAAGGACAUCACCCACAGAAGAAGCACCGGCUAACUCCGUGCCAGCAGCCGCGGGAAUACGGAGGGUGCGAGCGUUAAUCGGAAUUACUGGGCGUAAAGCGCGCGUAGGCGGUCUGAUAAGCCGGUUGUGAAAGCCCCGGGCUCAACCUGGGAACGGCAUCCGGAACUGUCAGGCUAGAGUGCAGGAGAGGAAGGUAGAAUUCCCGGUGUAGCGGUGAAAUGCGUAGAGAUCGGGAGGAAUACCAGUGGCGAAGGCGGCCUUCUGGACUGACACUGACGCUGAGGUGCGAAAGCGUGGGUAGCAAACAGGAUUAGAUACCCCGGUAGUC